CAACAUGGUAAGUGGACAACAAACUCACCUUAUCUUCAAGUAUCUAUUUUUUCUCAUCUUUACAUGCUUUAGCAUCCCUUGGAUUUACAACAUUGACUCUUUUAAUGGAGGCUCCCACCAUAUGUUUAAUAAGAAGUUCAAGGUGAGACAUUACCUUGUUCAUAUUUGCAUCUCUUUCCUCCUCUUGAAAUACUCGAUCUUGAGACACAAAGGAUGAGGAGGGAUCCCCUCGG
rnacentral:lncRNA from 1 species